GAUGAACGCUGGCGGCGUGCCUAAUACAUGCAAGUCGAGCGAACAGACGAGGAGCUUGCUCCUCUGACGUUAGCGGCGGACGGGUGAGUAACACGUGGAUAACCUACCUGUAAGACUGGGAUAACUUCGGGAAACCGGAGCUAAUACCGGAUAAUAUAUUGAACCGCAUGGUUCAAUAGUGAAAGACGGUUUUGCUGUCACUUAUAGAUGGAUCCGCGCCGCAUUAGCUAGUUGGUAAGGUAACGGCUUACCAAGGCAACGAUGCGUAGCCGACCUGAGAGGGUGAUCGGCCACACUGGAACUGAGACACGGUCCAGACUCCUACGGGAGGCAGCAGUAGGGAAUCUUCCGCAAAGGGCGAAAGCCUGACGGAGCAACGCCGCGUGAGUGAUGAAGGUCUUCGGAUCGUAAAACUCUGUUAUUAGGGAAGAACAAAUGUGUAAGUAACUAUGCACGUCUUGACGGUACCUAAUCAGAAAGCCACGGCUAACUACGUG
rnacentral:rRNA from 1 species